UCAUCUGUGCUCUGGAAAUGGAAAUGAGUUUUGCGGAGGACAUUGGAGGAUAAGUCUGUAUAUAAAUCGAAACUACGACAAAGGGUAUGUAGGAUGCUUCCAAGAUCAGUCAAGUAAGACAUUGAACGGGAAACAUAAUACAUCAGAUUCUAUGACUGUGGAAAAUUGUAAGGAAUUCUGUCAACAUCAGGAUACUCAGUUCUACGGUUUGAAGUCUUCCAGUAAAUGCUUCUGUGUGAAUUCUCUUUCACAAAGUGUCAAAACAGCAGACAAAGAAUGCAGUUCCAAAUGCAGCGGAAAUGAGGAGCAAAUUUGUGGUGGUGAUCGAAGAAUAAGUGUUUAUAAGAAUGUCAACUACCAA